UACAGAGGGUGCAAGCGUUGUUCGGAAUUAUUGGGCGUAAAGGGCGCGUAGGCGGUGCUAUAAGUCUGUGGUGAAAUCUCUGGGCUCAACUCAGAGUCUGCCAUAGAAACUGUAGUGCUAGAGUGUGGGAGAGGUGAGUGGAAUUCCCGGUGUAGCGGUGAAAUGCGUAGAGAUCCGGAGGAACACCAAAGGCGAAGGCAGUGUCCUGGGGAGUACCUGACGCUCAGGUGCGAAAGCCAGGGGAGCGAACGGG
rnacentral:rRNA from 1 species